rnacentral:rRNA from 1 species
UGAGGAAUAUUGGACAAUGGGCGCAAGCCUGAUCCAGCCAUGCCGCGUGCAGGAAGAAGCAUCUAUGGUGUGUAAACUGCUUUUGUACGGGAAGAAACACUCCUUCGUGAAGGAGCUUGACGGUACCGUAAGAAUAAGGAUCGGCUAACUCCGUGCCAGCAGCCGCGGUAAUACGGAGGAUCCAAGCGUUAUCCGUAAUCAUUGGGUUUAAAGGGUCCGUAGGCGGUUUAAUAAGUCAGCGGUGAAAGCCCAUCGCUCAACGAUGGAACGGCCAUUGAUACUGUUAGACUUGAAUUACAAGGAAGUAACUAGAAGAUGUAGUGUAGCGGUGAAAUGCUUAGAUAUUACAUGGAAUACCAAUUGCGAAGGCAGGUUACUACUUGUGGAUUGACGCUGAUGGACUAACGCGUGGGGAGCGAAC